rnacentral:misc_RNA from 1 species
CAGAGCUUCGAAGCCUAAGGAAAAGCAGCCGAAAGGUGAACUAUCCUUAGGAUUGAGAUCUCCACCCUUUGUUUACAUUACCUUUGUUGCUUUAGCAGGCCCGCUCUCGGGCCGCCGGCUUAGGCUGGCCAGUGCCUGCUAGAGGACCUAAAACUCUUGUUAAUAAUAUUGUCUGAGUACUAUAUAAUAGUUA